rnacentral:rRNA from 1 species
ACUCCAACCCUGUGAACCUACCUCGACGUUGCUUCGGCGGGCCGCCCCGGGCCCCCGCGCCCAGCGAUCGCGCGGCGCCCCGGAACCAGGCGCCCGCCGGAGGCCCCAAACUCUGUCUUCUGUAUUAUUCUGGGUACCACGAAUGAAUCAAAACUUUCAACAACGGAUCUCUUGGUUCUGGCAUCGAUGAAGAACGCAGCGAAAUGCGAUAAGUAAUGUGAAUUGCAGAAUUCAGUGAAUCAUCGAAUCUUUGAACGCACAUUGCGCCCGCCAGCAUUCUGGCGGGCAUGCCUGCCCGAGCGUCAUUUCGACCCUCAGCGCCGCCCUCUCGCGGCCUGGUGUUGGGGUGCCGGCGAAUCCGCCGCCCCCGAAAUGCAGUGGCGACCACGCCGCGGCCUCCCCUGCGCAGUAGCACACUCUCGCACCGGAGCGCGGACGCGGUCACGCCGUAAAAGAAAAACUCCUUUCCAGAGUGA